rnacentral:rRNA from 1 species
GACGAACGCUGGCGGCGUGCUUAACGCAUGCAAGUCGAACGGAAAGGCCCUGCUUUUGUGGGGUGCUCGAGUGGCGAACGGGUGAGUAACACGUGAGUAACCUGCCCUUGACUUUGGGAUAACUUCAGGAAACUGGGGCUAAUACCGGAUAGGAGCUCCUGCUGCAUGGUGGGGGUUGGAAAGUUUCGGCGGUUGGGGAUGGACUCGCGGCUUAUCAGCUUGUUGGUGGGGUAGUGGCUUACCAAGGCUUUGACGGGUAGCCGGCCUGAGAGGGUGACCGGCCACAUUGGGACUGAGAUACGGCCCAGACUCAUACGGGAGGCAGCAGUGGGGAAUAUUGCACAAUGGGCGGAAGCCUGAUGCAGCAACGCCGAGUGCGGGAUGACGGCCUUCGGGUUGUAAACCGCUUUCGCCUGUGACGAAGCGUGAGUGACGGUAAUGGGUAAAGAAGCACCGGCUAACUACGUG